AGCCGACAGGGUCCGGGCACCGAAGUUGCCGGCGGCCGUGCGGCCUCCCAGGCAGGCCCACAGUCACGUGCGGGGACCCGGGGUCGGACGGCCGGGAGGGGGCCCCGCGCGCAGCUGCAGAGCUCUGCGGCCUGUGCUACCAGGUCGGGUAGCGGCUGCGGCGCCUGCAGGACCAGCUGGCCGCCCGCGACUCCCUCAUCGCGUGCCUCCACGCCAGGCUGGCCGCGCUGGAGGGGUACACUGCGCCGUCCCUGGUGGAUGCGCUGCUGGAGCAGGUGGCGCACUUCCGGGAGCAGCUGCAGCGGCAGGAGAACGGCGCCGCGGAGGCCCAGAUGCGCCAGGAAAUUGAGAGGCUUACUGAGCGACUAGAAGCGAAAGAGAGGGAGAUGCAGCAGCUGCUGAGCCAGCCACAGCACCAGCGAGAGAAGGAAGUCGUCCUGAUGCGGAGGAGCAUGGCGGAGGGCGAACCGGCCCACCCCGCCAGUGACGUUCUGUGCAGCUCCUUGGCCAAUGAGACCCACCAGCUGCGGAGGACGCUGACCUCCACUGCCCACAUGUGUCAGCAUCUGGCCAAGUGUCUGGAUGAACGACAGCAUGCACAAAGGAACGUGGGGGAGAGAAGUCCUGAAAGUCAGAACAUACAGGUAGGGACACCUCUGUCCAGAGUGUUACUGAGGAAGAAAAUCGACUGUUAAAACAGAAGGUGACUCACGUUGAAGACCUCUAUGCCAAGUGGCAGCUAUACGAUGUCAGCAGGGACGAAUACAUGAGGGGGCUCCAUGCACAGCUCAGGGGGCUGCAGACCCCCCCCCCCCCAUGAGCCCGAGCUGAUGAGGAAGGAGAUCUCCCGGCUCAACAGAUAGUUGGAAGAGAAAAUAAACGACUGUGCAGAAUUGACGUAGAAGCUGGCAGCCUCGAGGACGGCACGGGAUGCUGCACUGGAAUGGGUGCAGAUACUGGAAUAGCAGAUUCUCGCUUACAAGGAUGACUUCAUGUCAGAAAGGGCAGAUCGGGAACAGGCUCAAGGUAGGAUUCAGGAACUGGAGGAAAAGGUCACCUCUUUGCUGCACCAGGUGUCCUGGAGACAGGAUUCUCAAGAGCCAGACGCCGGCUGGAUUCACGCUGGGAGCAAAACUGCCAAGUACUUGGCCACCGAUGCAGUGGAGCUUAUCGUGCCUGGUGGCUGGAGGCCUGGGACUGGGUCCCAGGCGGUUGGAACCCCCUGCAGAGGGCGGGCAUCCUGGCGCAGCCCAGAGAGGCCAGGGGGAACUUCAGUGCCCUCACUGCCUGCAGUGCUUCAGUGACGAACAAGGUGAAGAGCUCCUCAGGCACGUGGCUGAGUGCUGCCAGUGACCAAGAUUCCACCCAUGCCCUUGCGGCCCCCUGGCCCGGCACAGCUGCCCUCAGGGACAGGGUGGGUGCUCUCAGAUGCCAUGGAUUAAGCUCUACUGAGAUCCAAGUCCCCUAGAAUAGGUGCGGGGCACUGUGAUCGUUCACUUUGGUCUCCCUUUGGCUAUGGAACAGGCUGGGUCACAGGGAACUCCCAGCGAGGCUAGAGGCUGGAGGUGGAGAUGGGGUCAGGAACAUCUGGCAGAGGGAGGUCCUAGUCUUGUGUCUCCAUCAGGCUGAAGCCAGAGCAAUCUGGGGCUGGUGUGCCAGCCCCUCCCCCAGCCUGCACCUGGGUAUGCCACAGCUUGCCAGAAAGGCGUGGCUGCCUAUGGGAGCCACUUGUAUGGUCCCCAGGGUGGAAGCCCCAUCCUGUUCUAUAGAAUAAGGUGUCUCCUCUCUGCCUUGAACCAGGAGGUUUGUCAAAUGGAGUAUUGUGGCUGCACAUCACACUAGGGGGCCCAUCCCCAUCAUUGCAGAGCCACAUGUCUGCACUGAAAAACUGCAUCACAAUAGCAUUUGUCAUAUAUCCAGAAGUUAAAGCACACUUAUUUUAUCCACCUAUUUUUAUAAUAAAUGUUCUUGCUACUGUGA